rnacentral:misc_RNA from 1 species
UUUUUACUUUGAUUACAGUUCGUUUCAUGGAUUGCUUCCGCCAAAUGAUCGUUAAAAUGGAGCUUACUUCUGUGUUUUGCUUCAUUCAAGUGCUGUAAUAUAAUAAAAUUGCAAAAAAGUUGAGAUUGAUAGUAGUUUUGUAUUAGCAAUGGGACUUCUAAUGCUUAAUUCAACUGAGCCACCGAUAAAACGAAGGGCAGGUCUGCGGAUAAAACAAGCUGGAAGAGGUUCUUAUCGUGGCAGCUAGAGAAGUUUUUUUUAGUCAUGUCAUUUGGCCAAACUUGUUAUGUGUGUUAGAGAUUUGUGUAUUUCUUGGAAAGUCAACGAAUGGGAACUACUGCUCUGAGGCAGCUGUUGAAAAGUCUUUGCAAUAAUUCAAUCUGGAAUUAUGCUGUGCUAUGGAAGCUUAGGCAUGAGAGCCCUAUGAUUUUGAAUUGGGAAGAUGGGUACUUCAAGACAAAACUUGGGGAACCUGUGGAAAGCAUAACAAAUGAUGCUUACUGCAAAGAUGGAAGUGAUGUAUUCUGUCCUCAUUUUGAACCAAAUACAUCCAGUGGUAGCUUGGAGGAGAAUCCCGCUGGAUUUCUAGUGGUUGACAUGUCACGUAUUCAGUAUACCUUGGGAGAGGGGUACAACCCAGUGCUUGAUCCAUCUAAUUUUGAAUUAUGUAUUUUUUUUUUCCCUAUUAUGCCCUUUGUUAGAAUCAAUGCAAUUGUAUAGUUUGCUUGUCUAGAAGAAAAGGCCAACAUGACAUUUUGGUAAUUUACUUCUUGCACUCUCUUUAUUGUUUGGAAGCAUAUUGUCAACCAAAACAAAUGGACCUGCAAAAUGAGGUUCUGUCAUAUGGAACAUGGUAAAAACUUAGAAGGGACUGUUAGUUGACUGUCGGUUUUCGAAAUUUCAGGGUUGUUGGCAGAGUGGCCUUUACAAGGGACCAUUGCUGGGUUUCCUUCAAUAACAUUUUCACUGGUGAGGUUCAGUUAAUUCCUGAGUGUCCAGAAGAAUGGCUAGUUCAGUUUGCAUCAGGUAUCAGGACUAUUUUGCUGGUACCUGUGCUUCCACAUGGAGUUUUGCAACUGGGAUCAUUAGAAGAGGUUGCUGAAGAUGUCAAUAUAAUAGCGAAUGUCAAAGGUAGAUUCCAUGGCCUUCUCAGUGUUGGAGGAAAUAGUUCAACUUUCUCCGUAAAGGAGGAAUUCGAACCCAAACCGUCAUCCCCACUGAUGUCUGGUGCCAUUGAAUGCUUAAAUGCACCAUCAACUACUGCAUUUACAUCGGUGAAGACUCAAGAUUUAAAUCAUUUGAUACCUGUCAACAGUGUUGAGAUAGAUAAUAACAAUCCGUCCAGUGCAAGUCAAGUUCUGCCACUAAUAACUGCUGAAGAUUCAUUUAUGCCAGACGGAAAAGAUCUGCUAGAAGCUCUCCAAUAUGAAAGAGAAAAUAGGAUUGAUGUGCCACCUAUUAGUCUUGCUGAAAUAUCAAUUCCAAGUGUAUCUAUAAAUGCCAGCCAGCUGGAGAUGAUGGAGAGCAAGUUGUUUGAACUUUCUUGUCUGAUGGAAGAACUGCAGGCAUAUUCUGACUGUAAUGAUUACAAUGUGGGAAUGUUUGGAGAAUCUUACAAUGGAAUUAUUAGUUCUUAUCCUGCUGGAGACAUAGCAGGGGAAUCAUCUGGAGGUCAGGCUACUAAUGAUACAGAUAAUAAAGUUAUAAGCAGUUUCUUUAGAUUUCCCAAGGAUAGUGAGUUGCAUGAAGUGCUUGGACCAAAACAGACAAAUGAAAAGUUGUGGGACUCAUCUUUCUUGGUUGAGGAUACUUGUAGCACCCCAAGUUUUGCCUGCAACAAAGAUCCUAGUAAAAGAACUGAGCCUUCCUGGUUUGCUAGAGGAGGUGAUGCUGGAUAUCUGUUGGAAGCUGUCGUUGCCAAUGCAUAUAGUGGUUCAGAUGACACUUCUGUUAUAUCCGAUAGUUUCAAAUCAUCUACUAGUUUUUCAGGACACUUUGCUGCUUCCCCUAAACCUCAAAAGCAAUCAAAAGCAAGUACCUUGGUGAAGGAUGAUUCAACACCAUGUGACCAUCUUAGAUCUGCAUGUGUUAUUGGGAACAAGAAUGCUGAUAGUUCUUCAGGUACUUUAAGGAGCAUGAUGGACACAAUUUUUAGCAAGGAACAGCAUGAAAGAGGAUCCGAUGACACACUGGUUCGAAAAGGGCAUAAAACAACUGUCAGCAAAAGAAGGGCCAAACCUGGUGAUAACCAAAGGCCAAGACCAAGGGAUAGACAGCUGAUCCAAGAUCGGGUGAAGGAGUUGCGCGAACUUGUUCCCAAUAGUGCUAAGUGUAGCAUUGAUGGCCUCUUGGAUCGAACCGUAAGGCACAUGCUAUAUCUAAAAAGUGUAACCGAUCAUGCUGAGAAAUUGAGGCGAUGUGUACGUCAGGAGCAUCCUGGUAUCAAGAAUUGGAGGUAUUACGAAGCCAAGGAGAAUUGCCAAAAUGGAACAAGCUGUGCUUAUGAAUUUGGACUUGAGUUCCAAAUGUGCCCUAUUCUAGUGGAAGAUCUUGCUUAUCCAGGACAUAUGCUCAUUUUGAUGCUUUGUGAUGAGCAAUGUCUCUUCUUAGAGAUCGCCCAAGUGAUCCGUGGCUUGGAAUUGACCAUCCUGAAGGGUGUACUUGAGACCCGAUCCGACAAAACAUGGGCAAGAUUCGUUGUCGAGGCUUCCAGGGGGUUCCACAGACUCGAUAUCUUGUUGCCUCUGAUGCAGUUUCUGCAGCGCAAAAGAAACCCCAUCUCAAGCCAGAUUUGAUGCGCGUAAAAGAAACCCCAUCUCAAGCAAGAUUUGAUGAGUCAUCUUUUCUCCAAGUAGUUGGUCAGAAGAGAGCAAUAUUCUACCCCAGUGGAAUAUACUUUCGAAGCAAUAAAGAGUUGCAAACUAAACAUCACUAUUGUAUUAUUACAAGGAUUAUGAUUGUAAGAACUUUGGUCGGUUUUCUUGCAAUGAACUGUCAAGUUUUACUAGCACCUAAAGUAUAUACAUUACAGAUGAGAGGGUGCAUGCGUCGAUGAACGUAAAAAGACUUCUAUCCUAGCAAAACUGUCACCUCUUCGUCAUCGUUACUGAAUGAAUAUAUGAUUCAAAGAGGUAUUUCAGCUAGCAGUAGCGUAUGCCACCAACCACAUGCAACAUUUUUGGGCUGACAACCUUCAAUAGGAACACGAGAAGGAAUGUUGCGCUCAAUUGAAUCACCCAGACCAAGCUGGCCGUAUUUGUUCCAUCCCAAACUAUAUACCUGGCCGUCCUCUGUCAUAAUGGCACUAUGUCUAGCCCCACAAGAAACCAUUUUUGCACACUUACUUUCCAAACUUGGUGCAUCCAAUUGCGUUGGUUGUGUCUCCGCCUGUUCAGCUCCAGUUCCAAGUUGUCCGAACUGAUUCCCACCAAAAGCAUAUAUACGGCCAUUUGCAGUGAUACAAACAGUAUGCCAUAGUCCAGCAGCAACUCUUUCUACUUGAAUUUCCGAUAAAGAAAGCACACAAGUAGGCCUCAGCUGAUCAUUUGUGCUUACUUGCCCACACUGUCCAUAGAGUCCCCAUCCAAAUGUAAAUAGUGCUCCUGCAUCUACAAUGUAAUCAAGUGAUGAAGGAAAGAUAGCACAUCAGAAGAUUACGAACUUAUAUUAAUACUACAAAAUCAAGAACUCCGACGAGAUGCUAUGCAACAUCAACUUGCACAGCCAAGCAACUAGGAGAUUUUUGCAGGAAAUUGAAAGGUAGGAAGUCCUUAAAAAAUUGUCAUGGCUAAUAGCAAUACAAGAAAUAGGAAACCAGGAUCAAAAUACUGACCUGUUACUACAGCACUAUGGCGACCUCCACAAGCAAUUUCUUUCACAUAAUUUCCAGGGAAUUUAGAAGCUUGUGCUGACGAAUUCAAGCUUCCUUGGGGGACUAUCAAGGACCUGUCUUUCUCAGAAACAGAUGUAUCAAGGCAUGGUAUGAGAUGAGGAGAAGACACCAUUUUUAUCCGGGAUCCCAAACCUAGCUGCCCUUCGCCUCCAUAGCCCCAACCCCACACC